GGUUUAGUGUUUAGAAUUUAGGAUUAAGGGUUUAGGGUUUAGGGUUAGGGUUCAAUGUUUGGAGUUUAGGAUAUAGGAUUUAGGGUUUAGGAUUUAGGGUUUAGGGAUUAGAGUUUAGGAUUUAGAGUUUAGGGUUUAGAGUUUGCGUUUAGGUUUUAGGGUUUAGGCUUUUGUUUUAGAGUUUAAGGUUUAGAGUUU